GCGUAAGCGCGCGCAGGCGGUUCCUUAAGUCUGAUGUGAAAGCCCACGGCUCAUCCGUGGAGGGUCAUUGGAAACUGGGGAACUUGAGUGCAGGAGAGAAAAGUGGAAUUCCACGUGUAGCGGUGAAAUGCGUAGAGAUGUGGAGGAACACCAGUGGCGAAGGCGGCUUUCUGGCCUGUAACUGACGCUGAGGCGCGAAAGCGUGGGGAGCAAACAGGAUUAGAUACCCUGGUAGUCCACGCCGUAAACGAUGAGUGCUAGGUGUUGGGGGGUUCCACCCUCUGAGCGGACCUUAACACGUUUUACACUCCGCCUGGGGAGUACAGCCGCGAGGCUGAGACUCUCAGGAGUUGACGGGGGCCCGCACAAGCACUGGAGCAUGUGGGUUAAUUCUCAGCAACGCGAAUAAACUUACCCGGUCUUGACAUCCUCUGAGAGCGUGGGAGAUCUAGCUUUCCCCUUCGGGGGACAGAGUGACAGGUGGUGCAUGGUUGUCGUCAGCUCGUGUCGUGAGAUGUUGGGUUAAGUCCCGCAACGAGCGCAACCCUUGACCUUAGUUGCCACCAAUUCAGUUGGGCACUCUAAGGUGACUG
rnacentral:rRNA from 1 species